GAGCGCUAGCUACAGGCUUAACACAUGCAAGUCGAGGGGCUGCAUGGUCUUAGCUUGCUAAGACUGAUGGCGACCGGCGCACGGGUGAGUAACACGUAUCCAACCUGCCGUCUACUCUUGGACAGCCUUCUGAAAGGAAGAUUAAUACAAGAUGGCAUCAUGAGUCCGCAUGUUCACAUGAUUAAAGGUAUUCCGGUAGACGAUGGGGAUGCGUUCCAUUAGAUAGUAGGCGGGGUAACGGCCCACCUAGUCUUCGAUGGAUAGGGGUUCUGAGAGGAAGGUCCCCCACAUUGGAACUGAGACACGGUCCAAACUCCUACGGGAGGCAGCAGUGAGGAAUAUUGGUCAAUGGGCGAGAGCCUGAACCAGCCAAGUAGCGUGAAGGAUGACUGCCCUAUGGGUUGUAAACUUCUUUUAUAAAGGAAUAAAGUCGGGUAUGCAUACCCGUUUGCAUGUACUUUAUGAAUAAGGAUCGGCUAACUCCGUGCCAGCAGCCGCGGUAAUACGGAGGAUCCGAGCGUUAUCCGGAUUUAUUGGGUUUAAAGGGAGCGUAGAUGGAUGUUUAAGUCAGUUGUGAAAGUUUGCGGCUCAACCGUAAAAUUGCAGUUGAUACUGGAUAUCUUGAGUGCAGUUGAGGCAGGCGGAAUUCGUGGUGUAGCGGUGAAAUGCUUAGAUAUCACGAAGAACUCCGAUUGCGAAGGCAGCCUGCUAAGCUGCAACUGACAUUGAGGCUCGAAAGUGUGGGUAUCAAACAGGAUUAGAUACCCUGGUAGUCCACACGGUAAACGAUGAAUACUCGCUGUUUGCGAUAUACUGCAAGCGGCCAAGCGAAAGCGUUAAGUAUUCCACCUGGGGAGUACGCCGGCAACGGUGAAACUCAAAGGAAUUGACGGGGGCCCGCACAAGCGGAGGAACAUGUGGUUUAAUUCGAUGAUACGCGAGGAACCUUACCCGGGCUUAAAUUGCAGAUGAAUUACGGUGAAAGCCGUAAGCCGCAAGGCAUCUGUGAAGGUGCUGCAUGGUUGUCGUCAGCUCGUGCCGUGAGGUGUCGGCUUAAGUGCCAUAACGAGCGCAACCCUUGUUGUCAGUUACUAACAGGUUCCGCUGAGGACUCUGACAAGACUGCCAUCGUAAGAUGUGAGGAAGGUGGGGAUGACGUCAAAUCAGCACGGCCCUUACGUCCGGGGCUACACACGUGUUACAAUGGGGGGUACAGAGGGCCGCUACCACGCGAGUGGAUGCCAAUCCCCAAAACCUCUCUCAGUUCGGACUGGAGUCUGCAACCCGACUCCACGAAGCUGGAUUCGCUAGUAAUCGCGCAUCAGCCACGGCGCGGUGAAUACGUUCCCGGGCCUUGUACACACCGCCCGUCAAGCCAUGGGAGCCGGGGGUACCUGAAGUGCGUAACCGCGAGGAGCGCCCUAGGGUAA
rnacentral:rRNA from 1 species